AAAGCCGGAAGAGAAAAGACAUUAACUUUUUGUGCCGCGGAAGAAAAAUUUAUUAGGGAUUGAAAAGAAAAACAUAUAAGAUUGUGCCACAAAAAUAAUAAUAAAAGCCAGAACCGGACUUUUCGAUAAAGAUUUAUAUGAAGUAGGACCGAAGAGAAUUUUGCAGUUCAUAAACAUGGGGUCAUUUGCAAUACUAUCGACCAGAGACAUGUUAUGGACCUACAAUUCUCCAGAAAGAAAUUCUCUAAAAAUUGAAUGCAGUAAACUUUAAAUUUUGAAGCUCUCCUUACCAAUAUUUCGCUGGAGCAGCAAUUCACAACUAUAUUAAACUAUAACCCAAAUGUGUCAAUUUUUCAAAAUACCCGGAUGUGUCAACUUUUAGAGAAUAUCCAGAUGUGCCAAAUAUUAAAAAAAAAAUCUGGAUUUCAAGGUACUUUUUGGCUGUUCAACCAUUUUAAGCCGUAACUAAAAAAUGUCUUCCGUUAAAAUCAACAUUUUAUGCAAAUUUAAGACCACCGCCAACAGGCCUGAUGACAUCGUGGGAAUUAAUUUGGCUUGACGAACAAAGCAAUAGAAUUGAACAUUGCAAUAAUAUGUCAAAGCUGGAGAACUUUCGUCUGUAAAGGAAGAGAGAGGACUAAAAAAACUACCAUCCACAAAGUAUUUCUAUUUCAAUUAAUUCAUUUUCAAUAAAUGUGUCUAGAAUUUAAUUCGAA
rnacentral:sRNA from 1 species